AUACGGAGGGUGCAAGCGUUGUUCGGAAUUAUUGGGCGUAAAGAGCAUGUAGGCGGACUGUUAAGUCUGGUGUGAAAGCCCGGGGCUCAACCCCGGAAGUGCAUUGGAUACUGGCAGUCUUGAGUAUGGGAGAGGAAAGUGGAAUUCCGAGUGUAGGAGUGAAAUCCGUAGAUAUUCGGAGGAACACCAGUGGCGAAGGCGGCUUUCUGGACCAAUACUGACGCUGAGAUGCGAAAGCGUGGGGAGCGAACAGGAUUAGAAACCCGAGUAGUCC
rnacentral:rRNA from 1 species